rnacentral:rRNA from 1 species
AACUCCAAUAGCGUAUAUUAAAGUUGCUGCAGUUAAAAAGCUCGUAGUUGGAUUUGUGGGAUGGCCGUCCGGCGGGGGGCCAUUUAUUGGUCCCGUUUGUCCUGGUUUUCGGCCUUCCCUUUCUCGGGUCUAGCGUAUUGGCUGGCAUUAGGUUGUCGGCCGCUUCGCGCCCGUCGUUUACUGUGAAAAAAUUAGAGUGUUCAAAGCAGGCUUAGGCCGUUGGAUACAUUAGCAUGGAAUAAUGAGAUAGGGCCACCGCGGUCUAUUUUGUUGGUUUGCACGUUGUGGUAAUGAUUAACAGGAACGGUUGGGGGUAUUCGUAUUCAAUUGUCAGAGGUGAAAUUCUUGGAUUUGUGGAAGACGAACUACUGCGAAAGCAUUUACCAAGGAUGUUUUCAUU